rnacentral:rRNA from 1 species
CCCGCUGAACUUAAGCAUAUCAAUAAGCGGAGGAAAAGAAACUAACAAGGAUUCCCCUAGUAACUGCGAGUGAAGCGGGAAAAGCUCAAAUUUAAAAUCUGGCGGCCUCUGGGCCUCCCGAGUUGUUAUCUGGAGAAGCGUCUAUCCGCGUCGGACCGUGUACAAGUCUUCUGGAAGGGAAUUUUUUUUUUUUUGUUGAGAGCCCCCGUGAUGCGCUCUCGCCGAGUCAAGUUGUUAGGGUAUGCGAGCUCAAAAUGUUGUGGUGAACUCCAUCUAAAGCUAAAUAUGUGGAGAGAGACCGAUAGCGAACAAGUACCGUGAGGGAGAGAUGAAAAGCACUUUGGAAAGAGAGUGAAACAGUACGUGAAAUUGUAGAAAGGGAAACGCUUGAAGUCAGUCGCGUCGUCCGAGACUCAGCCUCGCCUCGGCUUGGUGUACUUCUCGGACGACGGGUCAGCAUCAAUUUUGCCCCUUGGAUAAUGGCGAGGGAAAUGUGACACCUUAGAGGGUGUGUUAUAGUCUCUAGUCGCAUGCAAGGGUCGGGAUUGAGGAACUCAGCACGCGCCUUCGGGCGUCGGGGUUCGCCCACGAUACGUGCUUAGGAUGUUGGCGUAAUGGCUUUAAACGACCCGUCUUGAAACACGG